GACGAACGCUGGCGGCGUGCUUAACACAUGCAAGUCGAACGGAGUGGCGACUGGGUGAGUAACACGUGGGUGACCUGCCCUGCACUUCGGGCUAAGCCUGGGAAACUGGGUCUAAUACCGGAUAGUGUGGGAUGGGCCCGCGGCCGAUCAGCUUGUUGGUGGGGUAAUGGCCUACCAAGGCGGCGACGGGUAGCCGGCCUGCGAGGGUGGACGGCCACAUUGGGACUGGGACACGGAGCAGACUCCGACGGGAGGCAGCAGUGGGGAAUAGUGCACAAGGGGCGGAAGCGUGAUGCAGCGACGCCGCGUGGGGGAUGACGGCCUUCGGGUUGUAAACUCCUUUCACCAUCGACGCGGUAGAUGGAGAAGAAGCACCGGCUAACUACGUGCCAGCAGCCGCGGUAAUAC
rnacentral:rRNA from 1 species